CAGCAGCCGCGGUAAUACGUAGGGUGCAAGCGUUAAUCGGAAUUACUGGGCGUAAAGCGUGCGCAGGCGGUUAUAUAAGACAGAUGUGAAAUCCCCGGGCUCAACCUGGGAACUGCAUUUGUGACUGUAUAGCUAGAGUACGGCAGAGGGGGAUGGAAUUCCGCGUGUAGCAGUGAAAUGCGUAGAUAUGCGGAGGAACACCGAUGGCGAAGGCAAUCCCCUGGGCCUGUACUGACGCUCAUGCACGAAAGCGUGGGGAGCAAACAGGAUUAGAUACCCCGGUAGUCCCUGUCUCUUAUAU
rnacentral:rRNA from 1 species